rnacentral:lncRNA from 1 species
AGAAACGUAUUACAUUUCUAAUUUGAAUUUACGUCUUUAACGCCUUUUCUAACGUGCUUUUACGCGACGUCCAAACAUUGACGUCGACGUCAUCAUUUUCUGUUGUUAUUGUUUUGAACGUCGCUUCCGUUAGCGCAAACAUAUAUUUCAAUUCAGGAACUUGAUGUAAAACUUGGUAAAGAUCAAAAAUCGAUUUCGUCAAUUAUUGGAGCAGCAAUAUCGUCGAAACACUACAGCAUAUUAAAGAGUUUUGAAAUCCAAUUCGGAAUAAUAGCACCAUAAAAGAGAGGAUUUGUCAAUGACAGUAAUUUUUGAAAAAAGAAAUACUAAGGUCGAUGUUUUCAUCUAGCUGAUGAAAAUGACGAAAAUUAAGUUUUUGAACAAAAAUUGAAACUAAGAAGUGUAGCGGUUUCAAAUCUGUAAAAGAAAACAUAAUGUUGGCGUCAUUGAAAGGAAUAAAUAUAAUUAUACCAGUUUCGGAGAAAUACAUAGGGAAAACAAGAGCUAGGUGUGAUUGUAUUUAUGGUAAAACUUAUACAAUAACAAGACUAAGCGUAAGCAAAAAUGACAACAACAAAAA